UACGAUUUUUCUGACGCAUUUUACUUUGAUAAAUUCAAUUAUUUAAGUAACUCCUUUGCAUUACACGGAGGGCCUGCGUGGUUGCGUACGCGUGGUUCCGAAUGACAAUUCCCGAAACGAUGGCCGACAAGGGGUGGCGACGCCGGAUUAUGUGCGACACGGGGCCCUUAACGCUAUUGCGUUCAUAUAUAGCGCCGGUAAGCCUUCCACGUCGCCUCAACACAUUCCGCGACCAAUUUUGAACAUCCGGCACGUCACCGCCAUCACGAUCGAGGUUAGCACCGUGCGGACAGAGAUAGCUAUAAUGCGCGAGAGGCCGUUCCUACAGAUGAAGCCGCGAUAGAAGCUAAAUGGGAGAGGGUCCUUUCUUUACGCCAACAGCGGAAACAAGCGAAGGAGUGCAAGGACGCGCACGUAAGAGAUGUGUACGUCGCCGGGCGCGGGAGGUAAUUAAGCCUAACGUACAACGCGGCCGACCGAGAAGACAGCGGCUGCUGCCUUUAUACCGAGAGGAUCUGAAUACAAUUAUCCGUCCGCACCAGGGUCUACCCCUUCCAAAUGUGAACUGCCAUGAAAUGGCGCUAGCCGUAGAGGACGCCUGCCAAAACAAGGUACGAAGCGACGGUUAUCAAGACGGGUUCAAACAUUUCCGUCAUCUCUACGCCCGACCAGGAGACGGUACGCAGGUUACAGGCGCGGUCAGUUUACUGAGCAUUAAUGGACGACCUCGUACCCCGUCAACGCAUACGUGAAGGCUGGUGACAAUCGAUGUCGCGUGAAGUCAUUGACGGCAUCGAGUCGAAUAUGCCCUCCGCAACGCUCAAAGCUCACCCGAGGCUGCGUACCCAGGGGGUGGAAAUCGUGGACGCCCGAAUGUUGGGAGACUCGCAGAGUGCCUGGAUCAUCUUCGGAGACAUCAUGCCAAGCUAUGUUUAUUUACCAAGUUCUGGUAGGAGCUGCUGCGGGGUGGGACAUUGCACAGACGUGUGCCCACAACGCGACCUAUCGGUGUGCCACGUGUGCUGGGCGCGGGAACCAGCCGACAGACAUGACUGUUCCCCUAAAUGUGCCAUUUACAGUGGAGAGCAUCCGACGGGGGUAUCGGGCAUGCCUCAAACCUCUCAGACCACUUCGAAGACGUCCAUCAAAAAGUGGCCACCAGAGGAGGCCACCACGUUGGUUCGCCACAGAGGACAAGGACUUGGAAUUUGAGAGUUUCCCUAAUUUCCCUAAAGGCGGGCAUCACAGCCAUUCUCAAACCUGGUUGCCGUCAAGGGAGUGAGCCAGGCCGGGCUAGCCUGGCCGGUCUAGCUGGGGCAGAGGGAUCGACAGAGACUACUGUCCGGACCUCGGACACCCUGUCCACAACAGAAGCAACAAGGUUGUAAACAGAAGGGGUGGAAUCUGGCCACAUCCCCUGGGGCUCUGCUGCAAAGAGCCAACCGCAACAAAAUCAGAUGUGUCCCUCAAAAUAUACAAGAGACUGCAGAUUGUUCAAUAACACCACGCACCCUCUACCAAGAUUAUCUGGGAAUGCAACAAGAGCCCACAGACAACGCCCAUCCAAACAGCAGCAGAAGACCAGUCGCAGGGCCGGUGACAAGCCCAAGUCCUGAGGACCAGGUAUGGCUGACAAACAGCGCUAGCCUGUCAGCACAGAGUCACAGCUAUCUGGAAUAGGGUAGCCACCCACCUUUUGGCACCAAGAGCUUGGUCUCUCAAGUAAACUUCAUUCACUCACUCACUCUGCCUUAAAGUGAUCCUCAGCAUGAUUAAGAGUGGCAUUCUCAACGCACAAGAUUAUGAAGACCCGCUCCAGUCCAUUUCUCUCAAUGUCUGCAGAGUACUGGAGCAGUGCAUCCAAUGCGAAAGACAUCCUUCAGAAAUUUUCAGGCGAGGCGGCUCUUCACUCGGCAGCAAAAGCCCCGAGUGUUAUAUAUCCAAUGUCCACUUUGUUAUGAGGGAGUUAAGUUACAUGAGUAUUGGUCAGUGAGCAUCACAUGUACGAUUAAAGAAUAAUUCAUUCUAUCGGGGUUUGUCUGUCGUCAUUUUUUGUAUAAAGAAAAUUGACGUUUUGAUUUAUUGGCAGGUGAACUGGUCUAAUCUUGAUGUCCAGGGUUUUAAGUUGGGUUGCCCUCCCUCUGGGUCGACAAAUUGGCAAAAAGUUUUGUUCAUUAUGCCCACUAUUAAUUAUAAAAGCACAUGCAAAAUUCGGCUCUGGCAGUUUUUUCUGCCUACAGUGCUGCAGGUAGCUGCGAUUAUACAAUAAAGGGUCACCCCUUUUCUAGAGAUAAGCUCUGUUUGCUGUUCGUGCAAGGCCCAAGCACCAACAGACAUGCACUUUGUUGCAUGUCAGGUGACUGAACUGUGUGAAAUACUACAGUUAUGAGUCACUUUUGCAAAUAUAUAUUUAGCCUUCAUGCAGCCAGCUUACACAGGGAUUACUAUCUAGAAGCAUAAUGUGCUUUGUUGAAACCAGUACUGUGUUGAGCCCUUUGUUUUCAAUUAAGUUGCAGUGAUAAAACACUUGCUGAUGUGGAAUGUGGCCAGCAAGAUCUUUAUAUAUAUUUCAGUAUUCUCAAUAAAUUGUUAUAUCAAUGUUCA